rnacentral:tRNA from 1 species
GUAGCUCAGUGGUAGAGUGCUUGCCUUGUAUGCAUGAUUCCCUGGGUUCUAUUCCUCAGC